UACAGAGGGUGCGAGCGUUAAUCGGAAUUACUGGGCGUAAAGCGUGCGUAGACGGUUACGUAAGUCGGAUGUGAAAUCCCCGGGCUCAACCUGGGAAUUGCAUUCGAGACUGCGCAGCUGGGGUGCGGAAGAGGGAAGCGGAAUUUCCGGUGUAGCGGUGAAAUGCGUAGAUAUCGGAAGGAACAUCAGUGGCGAAAGCGGCUUCCUGGUCCAGCACCGACGUUCAGGCACGAAAGCGUGGGGAGCAAACAGG
rnacentral:rRNA from 1 species